UCGAGCGGCGAACGGGUGAGUAACGCGUGGACAACCUGCCCUGAGGUGGGGGAUAACCAAGGGAAACUUUGGCUAAUACCGCAUGAUACCGAGAGGUCAAAGGGGGCUCGCAAGGGCUCUCGCCAUAGGAGGGGUCCGCGUCCGAUUAGCUAGUUGGUAGGGUAAUGGCCUACCAAGGCGACGAUCGGUAGCCGGCCUGAGAGGGUGAUCGGCCACACUGGAACUGAGACACGGUCCAG
rnacentral:rRNA from 1 species